rnacentral:rRNA from 1 species
UACGUAGGGUGCGAGCGUUGUCCGGAAUUACUGGGCGUAAAGAGCUCGUAGGUGGUUUGUCGCGUUGUCCGUGAAAACUCACAACUCAAUUGUGGGCGUGCGGGCGAUACGGGCAGACUGGAGUACUGCAGGGGAGACUGGAAUUCCUGGUGUAGCGGUGGAAUGCGCAGAUAUCAGGAGGAACACCGGUGGCGAAGGCGGGUCUCUGGCACGCAUCUGACGCUGAAACACGAAAGCCAGGGGAGCGAACGGG